UUUUUUAUAUGGACUAAAGUAAAACACUGGAAAUACUAUUCUAAGAGUGUUAGAAUAGGAGCAUACGAAUUAGGGUAGAAAGCACAAACCAAACCACUGAAGAUAGUAAUUCCGCCUAAACAAGAAUUUAGGGUAAAAUUCGAUUUGAACAGCAACUAAACAAUGUAUUCGACUCUAAUAGGUAUCCCAAACGGAAAGAUCAUGUAAAAUUGAAGAAAA
rnacentral:lncRNA from 1 species